AUUGAACGCUGGCGGCAGGCUUAACACAUGCAAGUCGAACGAGUGGCGGACGGGUGAGUAAUGAUUGGGCAUCCAGCAAAUGGAGGGGGAAAACUACGGGACAGUGUAGCUUAUAGCGCGUACCAUAGGAUGAGCCCAAGUGGGAUUAGGUAGUUGGUGAGGUAAAGGACCACCAAGCCGAAGAUCUCUAGCUGGUCUGGGAGGAUGACCGGCCACACUAGGACGGAGACGCGGCCCAGCCUCCUACGUGAGGCGGCAGUGGAGAAUGUUGCUCACUGGAGGCAGGCUGACCCGGCCAUGCCACGUGAAGGAAGAAGACCUUCGGGUUGUAAAGUUCUUUCGGUAGCGAAGCGUUAUCUAACCAGGAAGCACCGGCUAACUCCGUGCCAGCAGCCGCGGUAAUUC
rnacentral:rRNA from 1 species